rnacentral:rRNA from 1 species
GACGAACGCUGGCGGCGUGCUUAACACAUGCAAGUCGAACGGAAAGGCCCUGCUUUUGUGGGGUGCUCGAGUGGCGAACGGGUGAGUAACACGUGAGUAACCUGCCCUUGACUUUGGGAUAACUUCAGGAAACUGGGGCUAAUACCGGAUAGGAGCUCCUGCUGCAUGGUGGGGGUUGGAAAGUUUCGGCGGUUGGGGAUGGACUCGCGGCUUAUCAGCUUGUUGGUGGGGUAGUGGCUUACCAAGGCUUUGACGGGUAGCCGGCCUGAGAGGGUGACCGGCCAAAGUGGGACUGAGAUACGGCCCAGACUCCUACGGGAGGCAGCAGUGGGGAAAAUUGCAAGAUGGGCGGAAGCCUGAUGCAGCAACGCCGCGUGCGGGAUGACGGCCUUCGGGUUGUAAACCGCUUUCGCCUGUGACGAAGCGUGAGUGACGGUAAUGGGUAAAGAAGCACCGGCUAACUACGUG